GAUGAACGCUGGCGGCGUGCCUAAUACAUGCAAGUCGAGCGAACAGACGCGGCGCUUGCUCCUCUGUCGUUUGCGGCGGACGGGUGAGUAACACGUGGAUAACCUACCUAUAAGACUGGGAUAACUUCGGGAAACCGGAGCUAAUACCGGAUAAUAUAUUGAACCGCAUGGUUCAAUAGUGAAAGACGGUUUUGCUGUCAGUUAUCGAUGGAUCCGCGCCGCAUUAGCUAGUUGGUAAGGUAACGGCUUACCAAGGCAACGAUGCGUAGCCGACCGGAGAGAGUGAUCGGCCACACUGGAGCUGAGACACGGACCAGACUCCUACGGGAGGCAGCAGUAGGGAAUCUGCCGCAAUGGGCGAAAGCUUGACGGAGCAACGCCGCGUGAGAGAUGAAGGUCUUCGGAUCGGAAAGCUCUGUUAUUAGGGAAGAACAAAUGUGGAAGUAACUAUGCACUUCUUGACGGUACCUAAUCAGAAAGCCACGGCUAACUACGUG
rnacentral:rRNA from 1 species